rnacentral:rRNA from 1 species
AUCGAACGCUGGCGGCAUGCCUUACACAUGCAAGUCGAACGGUAACAGGUCUUCGGAUGCUGACGAGUGGCGAACGGGUGAGUAAUACAUCGGAACGUGCCCGAUCGUGGGGGAUAACUACUCGAAAGAGUAGCUAAUACCGCAUACGAUCUACGGAUGAAAGCGGGGGAUCUUCGGACCUCGUGCGGACGGAGCGGCCGAUGGCAGAUUAGGUAGUUGGUGGGAUAAAAGCUUACCAAGCCGACGAUCUGUAGCUGGUCUGAGAGGACGACCAGCCACACUGGGACUGAGACACGGCCCAGACUCCUACGGGAGGCAGCAGUGGGGAAUUUUGGACAAUGGGCGAAAGCCUGAUCCAGCGAUGCCGCGUGCAGGAUGAAGGCCUUCGGGUUGUAAACUGCUUUUGUACGGAACGAAAAGACUCCUUCUAAUACAGGGAGUCCAUGACGGUACCGUAAGAAUAAGCACCGGCUAACUACGUGUCAGCCGCCGCCGUAAGAC